rnacentral:rRNA from 1 species
ACGAACGCUGGCGGCGUGCCUAAUACAUGCAAGUCGAACGAAACUUUCUUACACCGAAUGCUUGCAUUCACCGUAAGAAGUUGAGUGGCGGACGGGUGAGUAACACGUGGGUAACCUGCCUAAAAGAAGGGGAUAACACUUGGAAACAGGUGCUAAUACCGUAUAUCUCUAAGGAUCGCAUGAUCCUUAGAUGAAAGAUGGUUCUGCUAUCGCUUUUAGAUGGACCCGCGGCGUAUUAACUAGUUGGUGGGGUAACGGCCUACCAAGGUGAUGAUACGUAGCCGAACUGAGAGGUUGAUCGGCCACAUUGGGACUGAGACACGGCCCAAACUCCUACGGGAGGCAGCAGUAGGGAAUCUUCCACAAUGGACGCAAGUCUGAUGGAGCAACGCCGCGUGAGUGAAGAAGGUCUUCGGAUCGUAAAACUCUGUUGUUAGAGAAGAACACGAGUGAGAGUAACUGUUCAUUCGAUGACGGUAUCUAACCAGCAAGUCACGGCUAACUACGUGCCAGCAGCCGCGGUAAUACGUAGGUGGCAAGCGUUGUCCGGAUUUAUUGGGCGUAAAGGGAACGCAGGCGGUCUUUUAAGUCUGAUGUGAAAGCCUUCGGCUUAACCGGAGUAGUGCAUUGGAAACUGGAAGACUUGAGUGCAGAAGAGGAGAGUGGAACUCCAUGUGUAGCGGUGAAAUGCGUAGAUAUAUGGAAGAACACCAGUGGCGAAAGCGGCUCUCUGGUCUGUAACUGACGCUGAGGUUCGAAAGCGUGGGUAGCAAACAGGAUUAGAUACCCUGGUAGUCCACGCCGUAAACGAUGAAUGCUAGGUGUUGGAGGGUUUCCGACCUUCAGUGCCGCAGCUAACGCAAUAAGCAUUCCGCCUGGGGAGUACGACCGCAAGGUUGAAACUCAAAGGAAUUGACGGGGGCCCGCACAAGCAGUGGAGUAUGUGGAUUAAUUCGAAGCAACGCGAAGAACCUUACCAGGUCUUGACAUCCUUUGACCACCUAAGAGAUUAGGCUUUCCCUUCGGGGACAAAGUGACAGGUGGUGCAUGGCUGUCGUCAGCUCGUGUCGUGAGAUGUUGGGUUAAGUCCCGCAACGAGCGCAACCCUUAUUGCCAGUUACUACGCAAGAGGACUCUGGCGAGACUGCCGUUGACAAAACGGAGGAAGGUGGGGACGACGUCAAGUCAUCAUGCCCCUUAUGACCUGGGCUACACACGUGCUACAAUGGACGGUACAACGAGUCGCGAGACCGCGAGGUUUAGCUAAUCUCUUAAAGCCGUUCUCAGUUCGGAUUGUAGGCUGCAACUCGCCUACAUGAAGUCGGAAUCGCUAGUAAUCGCGAAUCAGCAUGUCGCGGUGAAUACGUUCCCGGGCCUUGUACACACCGCCCGUCACACCAUGAGAGUUUGUAACACCCAAAGCCGGUGGGGUAACCGCAAGGAGCCAGCCGUCUAAGGUGGGACAGAUGAUUGGGGUG